GGGGGGUUUAAUGGUAUUUCAAGCAUUCUGACUUAUUAACACAGUUAUAGAGUUGUUUCCUCAUGCUAAAUGUAGGCAAAGUGUCAAAAAUGCAGUUGGGCGUGUUUCAGAGUAUUUCUGUGCCGAAUGCACUUCGCCAGGGUUCGUACAAGUUUCGGCUAAUUUUUUUCGAUUACGGUUCUAACUGACGUUUCAGGGGUUUUCGAUACGUAUCACUUCUUUAUAUGGGCUUCCGCCGGAAAACUUCCCCUGGAAAACCCCGCCCAGCCGUCAGUCAGCGGGAGACGCUAGAGCUUGCUAACAGCUUAUCACGCCACUCAGCUUUGUUUAAUUUCAAAAGUCAACAAUGGCACAACAAGAAGUGUGUUUUUGGAUGUAAGGAGAAGACAUCCAGCCUUAUGGAAACAAUGGAUAUAGUUUAUUAUCCGGAUUAGCAGCGGAGUUUUGCGUGUGUGUGUUUGAUGCGGUGGAUUUUCAUGACGAGUUACACGCGCGCCAUAUGAAGUCAAACACACCUAUCGCCUGGAAGGCACUCCCCGCCCCUGAGCGUUUCAGCCAAUCACAGCACUGAUGCUAGAUAUCGAGCCUUCCACCAGCUUCUGGCAGUUCGAGCUCACCGUUGGUCAGUCUGGUGACCAGCAGAAACACAUGAGGACCAGGAGCAGACAUAUAGACGAAUCGCUCUAUUUCAGACUUUAGCCUUUCUUCACUCAUUGAUGUAUCAAAGAGUCCUGGAGUGUCGAC